UGUUUCUCUCGAAGUUGGCAUGUCUUUCACACACAUAUGGAAGUGCCAGACCUUUCAUGUAUUUUGCAGGUUUCUUCUGAUCUGAUUUGCUUGAGACAGGGGAAAGCAUAUGAAGGAACCAUUUAGCUGGCAUGGCUGAGACCUGCAGCCAAUUUGGUUGAUCUUGGUUCCAGUUUAAGCUGUCUGGAUUGCUCUUUGUCAAUCUCAUGAAUAUGGAUCUCAUAUCAAUGGAAGCAUUGAAAGUAUGAAGAUGAGACGGCAAGAAUACUGGUAGCUAGCUGUUGGAUUGUAGGCAUGUAAAAAGUCUUUACUAUACUAAAAUUGUCACCUAGAUGGCUGGCUAGAAUGGAUAUAUAUAUUACUCUAGCUUGGCCUACAGAGAGAUAAGAUUUGAGGUUUUAAUGUGAUCUAGAGCUUUCAGCUUUUGAAAUACUUAAUUGCCCAUGCUUUGGGGAGUUUGAUUUAGGUUUCAACCAAUCACGAGUUCAUAAAAAUAGGGCUAAACAAGUUUGAAUUUUACGAGACUUGCCUCAAAUGACUUCAAAAGCUUGCUGAAAAUUCUCCUUCCGCAAUUUGUCAAACCAAAUCCUGACCGGUCCCUCUUCUGGCUGUCCAAGGCAUUUGGUUUUUCUUUAGGUAUAAUUUCAUAAACCUCCCCUGAGGUUUCUAACAAUUUUACUAGUCUCUUCUAAAGUUUUCAAAAUUACACAAACCUCUCUUGAGAUUAAAGUUUUAAUAACAAAAUUAGUCAAUUUAGAAAAAGUAACAUUAAAAAAGUACUUUAAGAAGAGAGAUGAAACUUUGAUUUCAUAAAUAUCCCUUAUACAUGUAUAUAAGUUGUAAUAAUAAAAGAAUGAAAAUAAUUAAAAGUUAGAAACAAUUAAUACACCUAAUUCACCCAUCAAAAAGUUUACAUUUAAUGAAUUGUGAGAUUUUGGCGGCGAAUUUGAUGAACAAAUUGUUGAUAAUACCAUCCCCAAAAUGAGCUUGAAUGAGGGGUUCAUAAACAGCUCUCAAGUUCCCAGAAGAUCUUCUAGGCACUGAAUGUUUUAUAUCAAAACGCUUGCUUCUAGACUCACCAUUAACCCGCAGAAGUAUUACUUCCAGCUCAUGAAGUCCUCUAUCAGAAGUAUUAUUAAACAGCAGAUGGAAUUUCAGGUAUACUUGUCAAGAAAGGAACCUCAUCAUUGUACCACAACUGAACAGCAAGACAUAGCAAGACUGCAGGAUUAAAACAACUUUGCCAAAAUAUUCCAAUGGUUAAAGCACACAGAUAUUAGCACCCGAGAUGCUUCCAAGAUACUUUCAAACUUGAAAAAAGCACCUGAAAUGGUAACCGGGAAACUAUUCGUAGCGUACGUUUCCACAAACUCUGGCGUAAAUGGUAACCGAGAAACCAAAAUUGAUCACAAAUGCACAAUUCCAUAAGGUUAGCAAUUUCGGGCAUGGGGCAGCUACAAUUAGCAAUAGGUGCGGUUGUUUUACUUUUUUAAUGAUUUAGUGUACACUUAAAUAAUUUUGAUGUAUUUCAUGAUUUGAUGCACAUUUAUAUAACUUUUUAUUGUGCUAGUAAUAGUUCACGUACUUUGCAUGUAAUUAUAUUAAACUAAAUAUAACAUCUCUUUAAACUUUUUGUGAAAUUUGAUUGUUUACAUGAUAAUAGAAUAUUUUCUAUUUUCUAUUUCUUUAAUCAAUUAUUGUUACAAAGACUAUCUAAAUACGAACUCUUCGAUCCAUUGAUUUUUUAAUUUAUUUUGAGCUUUCCUUUUAUUGAAUUUAUUUUGAGCUUUUUGGUAAUUUAUGGAUUCAAUUUUGAUAAACAGUUCUUAAUAUGGUUAUGAUGUGUACUCAUAAUAUUUUUACCAUUAAAUCAUAAUAAUAUUUUUUAAUAUUGUACAAAAGAUGUUGUUAAACAAGAAAUGCAUGUAUAUAUGUCAAGUGUGAGCCCAGUAAAUAAAAUUCAUAAUUGCUAGCAAAGUAAAGACUAAAACCAUAAAAUCAAUUUCCGGAAGUGUAUCGGAGUAAAUAAAUUGGCUUGUUAGAUUUUGUCAUUCUAAUUAUUUUCACCAAACUCAUCCCUUCUUUUACCCCUUGGAAAGUUCAUUUACUAGCCAGAAUCUAGAUGCGCCUUUUUUUCACUUAAAAAUAAAACCCAUAGUUAAGUUUCUAAUGAAAUCAACAAAUUUAAAAAAUGAAAAAAAAUUUGUAUCAACAUUUUGAAUGUUAUUUGCCAUAACAUUUUGAAUGUUAUUUUUUCCUUGGUAAGACAAACAAAAUGCAAUUGUACAAUUAGAAUGAAUUAAUUAUAUAAGAAUAAAAUAUAUGGGCUGUGCUUAUGCCCAACUUCGCAUGAACAUUUAAUUAUUCUACUUCAUAUCUUUUUAGCCAAACUUUUCAAGUUUUUCUUUUGUGAAUUUGAAUUGAAAAAUUUGAGGUGCAUUAUUGAAUUUGGAUUGUUUACAUUUUUUUCUAAGUAUUAUUGAGGUUAGUAAAGAAUGUAAAUGAUUUAUACUGCUUAAUUAUCUUAAACUGUCUAUUUAAUUGCCAAUGGACAUUCAAUUGAUAGAAAUAAUUGGAUUCUUUUAUUUUUUCUUUUCUUUUAGUAUUUCUUCAUACUGAUAAAAAGCCCAUAAUUAUACAUCUGUCUUGUGGUAUUCAUAUCAAGAUUCUCCAAAUGAAUAUAGACUCUUUUCUUCUUAUAUAUUUCUCUUUUGCUCCAAGAGCAUUUUUUUUAUACAAAUAUUUUUUACAAACUUAAAAUUGUGGCUAAUGCAUUCAUUCACACUAUUUCGAAUAAGAAAUUAUUUUGGCUAAGAAACUUUGACACACAUAAGAAUUGGAGAUGAAGUGUAAGGGUCACUAAAUAGUUUUAAUAAGGAGUUUUUCAUUUUAAUUACCAUUAUUAUUGAGAUUUAGUUAUUUGGAAUGUUUCAUAUUUUAAAUUACUACUACAAUUAGAAUGCAAUAAUUCUAAUUGAAAGAUAGAGACAAUAUGGGCACAAUAAAACUAAGAUCAAAAAAGUGCAUGCAACUUACAAUGCCAAGACUUUUUAAUAUAGUAAAAAAUAGAUGUUAUAAACUACAUCAAAAUUGCGUGAAUGCACAUCAAAUCAUUAAAAAAAAGUAAAACAACCGCACUAAUUGCACCUAUUGCUAACCAUAGCUACCCCAAACCCUGGAAUUUCAUAGUGACAUCUUAAAUUGAAGCGGACCACUAAGCAAUACAGACCGGAAGGUAUGCACCUAAUGCAACGCAUAUCAACUAUUAGCAAUGUAACAAGGAGAUACUUGGAUUCUUUGCUUACUAUAGAUGCUAUAAUGCUCCAAACACUCAAAAGCUUCUUGAUAGAUAGGUCAGUGUGUCUUUUACAGGUUUCAAGUAAUGUGGUUGCAUUAGGUGCCAAAUUCCCCUUCCUCCACUAUAUCUAUGUGACCUUUUGUUUCACAAAAUAAAAGAGUUAUACGAAUUUAGAGUUGAGUAGCAGCAAUAAAUUGCAUAAUUAUACAUCGAACUACUAGAAGUCACUGAAUUGGUCCCUUAUAAUGAAAUGAAAGAAAUCCUUAUGUAUUUUUUUUUAGGUAUGUCCCGCAGGGAGUGGAUCCCGCAGACUAUUUACCACCCUCAUCAACUUGCUGGUAGCAAGGUUCGAAUUAGGGACCUGAGGUUCCAUUUUCAGCAACCUCAACCACCAGAAAUCCUUAUGUAAUUAUUGACAUUUUAUAAAAAAAUUUUAACAAUAAACAAAAUAUGAUAAAUUCAACAUCUUUAGUUCUUUUUCCUAUUUCAAUCAUCAAUUUCAUUAUUUAUUUCUCUAUCACUAUGACUCUCUUCAUUUCCUUCUAAUUUGACACAUAAUCUACUCCUUCUGUUGAUUUUAUAUUUUCAAUUUGCUAAUAUCCACAAAAUUGAAGAUAAUAAAAAGAGGUUAUAUUAACUAAAAAAGAGAUGAGUGAAAAUAGACAAGAGAUAGAAAAAUAAUUUUUUUUGGAUUUUGUAAAUUUAUCGCCUUAAAUUUAAAAUUUUCAACCAAGUGGAGGGCAUUAUAGGUAUUUUACUAUACCAAGAGAGGUACGUGUAAUUUUUUAAACCUGAGGGAGUCGAGUGAAUUUGAAAUUAUUCAUAAAAACAUAACAUGAGCAAUGGAAAGAGGGAGUAGAAGUUUCAAUAAUUCAAUGAUUAUUAUCUAUUUCAAAAGAUAAAAGUUCAAUUAAUUUGAGAUCACAAGCUUGAUUAUUGAGACGCUAAGGAGACCAUUAUUGUGCGUCUCUAUUUUGAACCAAGAAGCAAAAUAGCUAAUCUUAAAAAAAGAGAUAUGUUUCUGUUUAGUAGGCCUAUCAACGGGCCGGAAUUCAUUAUUCCAAACUCGAACCCAGCAUACCAUACCGGAUCCGGAUCCGGAUCUGACCCGUUUACUCGACGGGUCUUCUACUCUAUAUUCCGGAUCCGAAUCUGGAUCCGACGGAUCUCGGAUCUGGGUCGGGUCUACCCGAAAAAAUCUAUCAAAACUUACAAUUUCUAAUAAAAAUAAGAAAAAAAUAUAUUUGUAAACUAAUUUCUAACUAACGCAAAAAAAAAAAAAUCAAAUAAGAAAAGAAAUUAAAUGGACUUUACUUAAAUACAUCAUCCUAAUCAAAUUAUAUUGAUAAAUAUAUAUUUUUUAAAUUAUUAAUUCAUUUAUAUCCGGAUCCGGGUCUAAUACGAGUCAUAAUACUAUAUUCCGUAUCCGACCCUUUUUUUUUGUUUUACAAAACGGAUCCGGAUCCAGGUCCGGAUAACAGAAUUAAAUCCCUACCCGUACUCGCAAUAAUUUGACAGAUCCGAUCCGGAUCUGGGUCUAGAUCUGGACCGUUGACAGGCCUACUGUUUAGUGAUGAUAAAAUAAAUUCAAGUGGGCAAAGUGCAACUUAUCCCUAAUUACAUUGGAGAUUAGUGCUAACUGACACUUUACUUUAUUUCAAUUUGAUUGCGAGGAGUCAAAAGCAAUUUCUUAUCGCUCUUGGAUGGAUAUUAUGAACGUGUUUAGAUAGUAGAUUAUUUGGAAUAAUUUUUUGAAAAAGAGCACGAUGAUAUUCUUUUAAAUAUAAUAUAUAUAUAACAUAAAAAAAUAAUUAAAAAAUAUGUUGAUAAUAUAAUUAAUAAAUUAUUUGUGACGAGUGUGAGAUAUAUUCGUGCCCACGCAAACAUUCAAUCAGAGAACAUGAAGGUGCCCGCAACAAAAGCAAUUCAAGUGAAAAUGCCGACAAGCCACAGCCCUCAAAAGUGGUUUGGAGAAAUUUCAUGCUUUUGGGUCCCACAUAUUUUGUCACAAUCUUGUGAUUAUCAUUCAGAAACGCAUGACCUCCUAAUUGGUGAUUUUAAUUGAGUCAAGUUCAUAUUACUAACUAUGUUUAAUUGGUGUGUAUUUAUAUCAUUAGCAGUUAGCAAUUGUGCAAAAUUUUCCCUCUAGUGAUUAAUCCUUUUUGUUCAUUAUCUUUUAUAUAUAUAUAUAUAUAUAUAUAUAUAUAAAUUCAAUAGGACGAUUUCGCACUAUUGAGUUUCUGGAGAAAUUUCUAAUUUUGUGAUGAAUUUUAAAAAAAUUCUACAAAAGAGGUAAUUUUGGUAAUGAAUUCCGUCCGGGGGUCUUUGCAUUCGUAAAAUGCGAGUUCAGUAGAACUCGCAUUUCACGAAUGCGAGGUUAGAAUAGAGCUCGUAUUCUCGAAAUGCGAGCUCUACUUAUUGAGCUCGCAUUCCGCAAAUGCGAGCUCUAAUUUAAUUUUUUUUACUAGCUCCCCCAGAGCUCUCUAGCAGCCUCUAUAUUCGUAAAAAAAGAAAGGAGCUCCUGGGUCAGAGAAUGAAUUCCACUUCCCUGAUUAGCACCAAUCGUCAUGAACUGGAAAGGCUAGCUCAGAAGAUGGCUAGGCCCCUGUUAGCACCAAAAGCGUUAGGGGGCCCGCACUGGAGGCAUCAGAGACUUCAAUGUUAGUUUUCUUGAACUGCAAAUCUUCCAAAAAGGAAAAAAAUUACACUUGACUCUAUUUCUUUCAGAAAUAGCGGGCAGGCAAAGCAAAGAAACGAAGCUGACUCUCAUGAAUGGAUGUCCGAGCUAGAGAAUUUUUUCCAGAAAAUAGUAAGAGCUAAAUGCGAGCUCCUAAAUGUUUUUUUUUUUAAAUUUUGCAAAUAGCUCGCAUUUGAUAAAUUUGUCCUCCAAAAAUUGUAUUUAACUUUUUUGUUAGAUUUCGCAUUUAUAAGUAUGACUUUCAGAAAAUUAAAUUCAAACUUGUUAGGAAAAAAAUUUAAAAUGAAAUUUACGAAAUUUCAAAUGAAAUUCAAACUUAAUAUAAUUUACUAUACAUGCAUAAUUCUUUUAUAAUAAAAAAAAUUGGUAAUUGUACGAUUGAAAAUACAUUAUUUUAUUAUAAUACAUUUAAAUGGGGGAAAAAGUACACAUGCAUAGUUCUAUUUGUUACUUUUUAUUAUUAUUAUUAUUAUUAUUUUGCUUGCAGGUGCUUAUUGUAGCAGGAACUAGUACCACAUCAAGGGCGUUGAGCUGGGUUAUCUCCCUGCUACUGAACCAUAGGCACGUUUUGCAAAAAGCCCAGGAAGAGAUUGAUUUUUUUGUUGGUAAAGAGAGAUGGGUAGAAGAAUCUGAUAUCAAGAAUUUAGUCUACCUACAGGUCAAAGAGACAAUGCGACUACAUCCACCAGCACCUGUACCUAUGCCACGCCAAGCCGACGAAGACUGUAACGUAGCCUUGUCUUGGCGCUCACCCAACUCUCAGUGAGCUCGCAUUCCGCGAAUGCGCGCUCACGAGCUCGCAUUUCCGGAAUGCGAAGAACCCUAUUUGCAGAACACACUCCAAGAACCGUCCUCGUUGUAGAAUUCUUUUUUUUUUUUCAUCAUAAACUAAGAAUUCUCCCUGAGUUUCUGGGGUUUUGUGUGGGGGGAGGGGGGUAACAAAAUGCAAUACAAAUUACCAAAAUUUCAUUGAGAAAUCAUCAUUAUAUUUGAGUAUACAUGCAAAAUUGAUGGGAAUUAAAAUAAUACUCCCUCCACUUCAAAUUAUUUGUCUCAUUUCAGGAUUCAAAUUUUUUAAAGAAUAAUAAGUAACUUGACGAUGAUGUUAGUGGAUUUGUUUCUAAAAUUAUUCUCGAAAAUUCAAAAUUUUAAAUUUGGAUUUAGUGCCAAAUAUUGAUUAAUGUGAAAAUUAUUGAAAGAAAGAGAUUAAAAGUAAAUUUGAGUUUAAUAAAAUAAUAAAUAUUUUAAGACAUUUAAAAAGUAAAUCGGGAAGGAGUAAACAAAAAUAAAAUGAAUAAAAGAGAAACUACAAGAUGAUGAGUUAGUUAGACGUUAAGCCAAUAAGAAAGGGAUGAUGAGUUUUAGCUGCAAGCAAUGUUUUUAAACUCGGACCGGUCAGCGAAUCGGAGAGGGUCCGGUUCGCGGUCUGACCGGUCCGACCGGCCGGUUCACCGAUUUUCUGGUUUAUUAUUAUUAUUAUUUUUUUUUUACAAUUUGAGUGUUAAGUAUUUCACAGGUUUUCAUUCUACACUUGAACUUGACACCUAAUGUACAAUUUAACAUGGUUAGUGAUAACUUAAGUUUUUAAAAUGCAUUCACCAACAUAACUAAAUUUAAGUUGAGAUAAUAACAAAUUUCCUAAAAGUUAUACAUAAAACCUGGAAUGAUAAACAUAAUUAAAAUAUCAUAAUUCACCACAAGUUUUUAUAAAUUCAUUACAAACAUGAAUAGAUAUAAUCCAAAUGUUCACCAAUUAUCACAAAUAAAAACACAAAAAAAAUAAAAUAAAUAUUGAAAUUCUUUUACAAUUCUUAAAAAAGUCUAUAAAAAAGUCUAACUCAUAUUCAAGACAAACCAUUUGAAUAACAAACUUCCAUCAAUGGCAUGAUAAGCAGCAAAACAACCUUCACAAUUUCAUCAACUUAACCUGAAAAAAUUAAAAUUUUAUUAUAAAAAUAUAAAUCUAAUUGCUCAAACUAAAAAAAAAUAAAAAUUUUUAAAAAACAAAGAUACAACUAAACACAUAAAAAAUUAAUUGCUACUAAACAUGUGGUCCUGAGGUUACCAUUUAGGAAUUUACCAAGACAUACAAACAUGUGGUCCAAUUUGGCACUUUUUUUUUUAAAGCUUUUGUUUGACAACUUUCACAAAUCAACUUUAACAUGUCUUUGAUUUUGUUGCUUUAGUGAAACCUAUAAAAUUCAAGAUGAAUGAGCAUUCAGUAGACUAAUUACUUUAGCAUAGAAAAAGCAAUAAAAACACAAUAAAUAGCAUAGAAAAAACAGAACAAUCAUUGAUACAAAAUUUAUUAAUUUGAUAUUUCAUCCAUGUCUAAUUUCUUUAAUUUGAUACUUCAUCCAAAAAAAUAGCUUCUCCAAAUAUGAUUGCAAAUUAAUUAAUGAUUCAUAAUUUCAUCCUUAAUUAAUCAAAUAAAAAUAAAACAAAAAUAAGGGAAAACAGAUGAAAAUUGGGGAAAAAAAGAAGAAAAUGCAAAAAAAAUCGGCUAAAGAUAAUAAUAUAGAAAACAAAAACCUUGAAAAAGGAAAAAUUAAACUUACCAAGAUGAUGGAAAACAAGAAAAACUCUUGAGUCUCAAAUAUCUUGUGAAAGUUGAAAUUUCCAACUUGUCUACAAUCUGCAAAAGAUGAUAGUGAUAAAGGUGAAGGCUUGAGAAAAUUUUGUUGUGGAUAUUUGGGUUUGAAAGGAUUAAGAAGAAAAAAUUGGAAAAAAAUUCAAGAGGAGAACUGGAGCCAUUGGCCGCCUGAAGCCGAGAAAGUGAUAGAUUGAAACUUGAAAGAAAAGUGCGCCGGCUGUUUCUUUUUUUAAUGUUAGGAUUUGAUUUUUUUUAUUCCCUAUUUUAGUCAAGUUAAGUAGAAUUCUCAACAAAAUAAGCUGUGGUCUAGUGGUGAAGAGUGCCUUAUGGGAACAAAGAGACCGAGGUUCUCUACAUUCUUGACAUUUUGUUUGAAAAUGUCAAGAAAAUUAGAAAACCGCCGAGUUACGGUUCGUGCGAUUUUUAACGGUUCAUACGAUUCGACCGAUUUCUAGCGAUUUUUCAUUAACUUUCGGGUUUAAUACUGGACCGGACAGGCCGAUUUGACCGGUCGGACCGGUCAACAAGGUGUGGCUACGAUCGGCCUGUCCGGUCGGACCGGUCAACAAGGUGUGGCUACGAAUUGUCGGCAACUUCCAGGAAGUCUUUAGAGUGUAGCUUUGCAAAAAGUGGAAAAAUUUGGAAGCGCAAAAAGUUGUGCGGAAAAAUGUCUGGAAAGGAGUUUUUUAUCCAAGUUUUUUAACUAUUAAUUUUUUAACAUCUUAAUUACAAGAAUUCAAAAAUAUUUAUCAAUUUUUUUAUCCUACGUAUUUCAAAAUGUCUAAUACACAAAAAACAUCAUUUUUUCUUUUCUUUCUCCCCCAUUCCGAUCCACCGCACCUUCAUCGCUGGCCAUCACCUCCCCAUCGGUUCCGGCGCCAAUCACCUAUUCCGGCACCAGCCUUCCUUUUUUUUUUCUCCCUUUCUCCCUCUCCCUCUCCCCCUCCCCCUUUGACCGAUCUGCAACUUCUGCACCUCUCUUCAAGAGAUAGGAUUCCGGUUUCUGCAUCUUUCUUUCUCCCAUCUUUCUUACCAACGUUCGGCCUCAACCCACCUCGCCUAUGCUUAUUCCGCUUACCCCACCUCAGAAACACCAUAGCUUCCCUCAAGGGCUGGAAGGCGUCCCCCCAAGCGUGGCAAACCAGCGACGCACCCCGUAAAUUGGACAGCGAGAAAGACGCGGCGAUUUUCUGCACUAAUUCAAAAGGGGCCAAAGAGUAAUCAUACUGCUGAUGCUUAAGGUUGUUGGGGACAUGGGUUUUCGACGAGGAAGAGGUAGAAUUCCUCGUGGGCCCUGAGGUACUGGAUUUGGAGGAAGAGUGGUGGUGGUUGUGGCGGGUGAUCGGAUUCUUUUCUGGUAAAGGGCAGCGCGGUAAAGUGGGGAGUGUCUGAUUUGGAAGGCCAUGUUUUCUGCUUCAUUGGUAGUGGUGAACGGCGGAAGGGGAUGCAGCAGCCGGCUACGUAAAGUCCGAGGGAAAGAAAAAGAAGGAGAAAAAGAAAAAAAAAGUUUUUCGUUUUAAAAAUUUUUUCAAAAACUUUUACAGCAGUGCAUUAUAAUAAAAUAUUAGACAAACUUUAAAAAAAAAACUCACGGCUCCCGCAAGUUUUAGCCUCCACACAUUUUGCUGCCCUUAGUUGCCAAAGUUGAACCAUAUCCUUCCUUGUCUGAUCGCAGAAAGCAUCCCCCCAACACCAUCAUCGAUAUCACAACACUUUCAUCCUAAUCCCAAUCCCAAGCGAGAAAAAAUGGCUGAUGCUGCUGUUAGUGCUACUAUUAAGGUUGCAUUGCAGGCGGUUGUUUCUCUUGCCGCUGAUCAUCGUGAAUUCCCAGAGGAGCUGGAGAGACUCGACAAAUCUGCUGCAAUGAUUCGAGGCUUCUUGGCUGGUGCCGACGAGGACAAGCAUAGCUCAGACGUGAAAAAUUGGCUCAAGCAGCUGGAAGAAGAGGUUUUCAAAGCUGACAAUGUGCUGGACGAGCUCAACUAUGACAAUCUUCGUCGGAAGGUGAAGUAUCAAAAUCAACUCACGAAAAAGAAGGUAUUCUUCUGCUUUUCAUUCUUUAAUAAAAUUGGUUUUCGUUGGAGGUUGGGUUCAAUGAUCAGGGAGAUCAACACGAACCUUCAAAGGAUCCGUCGGGAUGCAGAAGGUUUGGGACUGGCCUACAAGCACCAAGUUGAAGAAGCAUUCCCUACUAUUGCUGCUGGAGCCACAACAAGCCGACAGACCGACUCUACUAUUGUUCGAAGAGAUGUUCUAGGAAGAGACGAGGAUGAAUCAGAAAUAGUUAAGAAGUUGUUGACCGAAUCUGAAAGUGUUAUUUCAGUUAUUCCCAUAACUGGCAUGGGUGGUUUAGGAAAAACAACUCUAGCAAAAGCCGUUUACAAAAAUGAACAAAUUGUUGGACAAUUUGACAAAAAAAUGUGGGUUUGUGUGGCUGAAGAAGUAGAUAAAAUCGAGAAGGUCUUCAAAAUGAUUCUUGAAUCGUUAACAGGAGGAAAGGUUGAAGGGGAUCGUAGGGAGGUAAUAGUUCAAAAAAUUCAGCAUGAACUCAAGGAAAAAAGAUAUUUCCUUGUUCUUGAUGAUUUGUGGAAUGAUCAAGAAGUAUUGUUGAAUGACUUUUUCAGCACUUUGGCGGGACUGAAUGCGAAGAAAGGGAGCUGGUGUCUUGUUACCACUCGUCUGCAAGAAGUGGCAACUAUUCUGUCUAGACAUCCGCAGAUCAAUUUUACUCGCCAUGAGCUGGGAAAGCUAUGCGAUAAUGAUUGCUGGUCUAUCAUGAAAAAAUGGGCAAAUGUAGGGGAAGAAUUACCAAAAGAAUUGGAAGACAUGAGGGAGCAAGUUUUAAGAAGAUGUGACGGUCUACCUCUGGCAGCAACGUUAAUUGGAGGUUUGUUAUCUAAAAAGAGAAAAGAGGAUUGGCUAUCUAUUUUGGAGGAGAGUCUCUUGAAUGGCAAUCAAGGUGGGAUCAAGCAAAUACUUAAGGUGAGUUUUGAUCAUCUGUCACCUGCACCGGUUAAGAAAUGCUUUGCAUAUUGCUCAAUUUUUGAUCAAGAUACUGAAUUGGAACAAGAUCGACUAGUUGAGCUUUGGAUGGCUGAAGGCUUUCUUCAACCGGAUCCCCAAAAUGAAAGAAUGAUGGAGAAAAUAGGAUGUGAGUAUUUGAGAAUUUUGCUGCAAACUUCCUUAUUGGAAGAAGUAAAAUAUGAGUGGAGAAUAUGGUAUAAAAUGCAUGACCUUGUGCAUGAGUUUGCAAAAUCAAUUUUGAAUCGUAGCAGCAGCAAUGAGGACCGCUACCUUUCAUUAUACUCAUCCGAAAGAAUGUUAGAAAACAUGAACGAAAAAAAAUCAGCAUCACUUCGCACAUUAUUUCUGAAGGGUGGCAUAGCUGAUGAAAUAUUAUCAAAGUUCAAACAGUUGCAUGUCCUAAAAUUGUCUGGAGAAGAUGUCAAAGAGUUGCCGACCUCCAUUGGCAAACUAAUCCACUUACACUUACUUGACAUUUCAGAUUCGAUGAUUACAACUUUGCCAGAAUCUCUUUGCGAACUUUAUAGUUUGCAAACACUAAGAAUUUGCGCGCUUGAAAAAGGUUUUCCAAAGAAGAUGAGCAAUUUGAUUAGCAUGAGACAUCUUCACUAUUUUCAUUAUCGUUAUGAUAAAGGAUGCAAAAUCCAGAUGCCAUCCAAUAUUGGACGAUUGACUUGUCUUCAAACAUUAGAGUUCUUUAACAUAGGUCGUCAGGAGGAAGGUCGUGGUAUCCAAGAACUUGGGACCUUGCAAGAUCUUAAAGGCACCUUGGAGAUCAGAAAUCUUGAAUCAGUAAAUGGCAAAGAUGAUGCAGAACUAGCGAACCUAUCUAAAAAGCCACAUAUGUAUCGGUUGGUAUUUCAGUGGGGCAAUAGGGAUCGAGAAAGUGAUAAUUGUGAUGAAGAUGUGUUGGAAGGCCUCCAACCUCACCCAAAUUUAAAAGAGUUACAAAUUUUGAAGUUCAUGGGUGAUCAGUUCCCACAAUGGUUCAUGAAUUUGACAUCACUGGUGGAGUUGCGUGUGGCGAAUUGCACAAGAUGCAGAGAACUCCCCACCCUAGGACAGCUGUCAUCCCUCCAACAUCUAUAUCUGACUGGAUUGGAAAACAUAAGAAGCAUUGGGCUUUCAUUCUACAGUACAAGUGCUGAGGAGGACGGCGGAUCAGGAGGUUCAGGCACUGUUAGCAGACAAACAUUCUUUCCAGCCCUUAAAAUUCUCUCUCUUGAAAGCAUGGAAAAUUUGGAAGAGUGGAAGGACGCACACGAAAUAAGGUCAACCGCAGGUGAAGUACAUGUGAUGGAUGUGUUUCCCAUGCUUGAAGAGUUGUAUAUUAGCCAUUGCCCCAAGCUGACCACCAUUCCAACUCCAAGUCGUUUCCCAAGUCUUGAUGUAUUGAAAAUAAAAAAGAAUUGCCAUGUUUUGCUGGCAGAAAAGGUUUUGAGCAAUAUGGCCAAUCUCUCAUCCCUUGAAUUAUGGGAUCUUGGUGGUCAACGCAUCAAGUCUCUAAAAUUAGUGAAACGACCAGAGAGCAGCUUGAGUAUUGAAGGCUGUAACAGUCUACCCACUGACAUGCUUGAGCGACUCUGUCUUUUUCCAACUCUUCAGCGUGUAGAAUUGAGGUCUGCCGCUAAUAUAACAACAUUAAGAGGAAUGAGUUGCGCCGCUUGUCUUAAGAGAUUGGUAGUCUCUUGCUGUGACAAUUUACGGGAGUUGCCAGAAGAUCUUUAUCAAUUUCAAGCUUUAGAGUACUUGCUGAUACAAGCGUGCCCGAGAAUUAAUUCAUUUGGAUAUCCAAAUCCUAAUUCAUUUGGACAGAAAGGCCUCCUUAAGUCUCUUGAGGAAUUUACUAUCGAAGGGUGCGAUGCAUUAACAAGAUUACCAGCGGAGAUGUUCGAGUCGUGUACGUCUCUCCGAGAGCUGAAUUUGUUCGGUUGCCCCAGUCUGGUCUCCUUUCCCCUUGAUUUGCGACGAACCCCUUCUCUCGAGAGCUUCAUUUUAGGGGGGUGUCCCAACUUGAUUGCUGAGAUGCCAAGUGGAUUUGGCUAUCUUACCAGCUUAAGGCAUGUGUCGAUUGGUCCCUUCUCAGAUGACUCUGCAAUCAAAUUUGAUUGGGCUGGAUUAGCAUCUUCAUCAUCACUCCGACACGUGUCUUUAUGUGGAAUGCCUGACAUGAAAUCUCUGCCACACCAGCUUCAAUGCUUGACUACCAUCACAUCACCCUCCGUGGAUGCCAUGGAACGCCUCAAAUUCAGACGUCUGCGAAUUCGUGAUUGUCCUCUAUUAACCGAUAGAUGCACUCCUCAAAGCGGCUCCGAGUGGCCCAAGAUCUCUAAUAUUCCAGAGCGUAGAAUUGUCCGCACGCAAAAUUCACUAAUAUUGGGUAUGUUCUUAUUUUUUUUGUCACUGAUAUUUCCAAACAACAUUAAAACCAAUGAAAUAGCAAUUUGGGGAGAAUUUUUGUUACAAUUUUUGUUUUUACCGCUGGCAUUUAAUGGAUGGAUAUGUUCUUAAUCUUCACUAUUAUCUCUCUGUAAGACUCUGCAUUAUGAUUGCCAUAAAAUUAGCUCAAUGUCGAUCAAGUUGAAAUUGUUUGCAGAGGAACUAGGCCGCUGCUAAAACUAUAAAUUCUGAUCAUCUUUUAAAAUUUCUAAAAUUCAGAUACUAUAACUAGCUACUUUUCUGUUUUAUGAAUUGGAUUGAUAAUAUUAUGGCGUUGUAGGCCACAAGUGUCAGUGAAGCAGCAAGCAGUGAUAAUAUUAUGUGCUCAAGGCAAAGUCAGCCUGGAACCUCUAAAGCAUCUUAUUGCACUUUUCACAUUCUCCAACUGCAACAUUAGGCUGUGGUUUCCAAUCAUUUUUGAAGAAAGAUGAGGAGGUAUUUGCACUAGUAAGUGUUCUUUAUGGAUUAAUCAAUGGAAUAUAAAUUGAUUUUUGCUCUUUAGGAUUUUGAGUGAUAAAUUGUUGCACGAGUUACCAGACCAAACCUUUCUGUGGCUCAUGUUUCUACACAAUGUCAUAACUGAAACAGAACUGUGAUGUAAUAUUGUUAUUUUUUUUUCCAGAAUUUGUUCAGGAAGCAGAGAUUAUGCUCUUUGGACAAAGAACACCAGUCAGGUUUUGGUUCCCGUGUUGUUCUUAUGAGAAUGUCAAGAGGGAGGAGUUAUUUUCAGUUAUCAAUCAGGUUUUGAAGAUGGAAGGUAGUUAUCUGUGAUUUUUCCCACCAGAAUGCCAUAUAUUGCUCAGAAUGUGGAAAUGAAGGUAAAAAAAAUGUUGACUGCAUGUCUAUUGGCCUGUUUCAAUGGCUUUUCUUUUUUUCUUUUAAUCUAUUUUAUGGAAGUAUUUAACAAAAUAAAUCAAAUAUUGAACCUUUUCUCCUUGUAGCAUGCUGAAAACAGAGUGGCUUGUGCCAGACUUGUAGAAAGUAGUAUGGAUGGAGAAGAAUUAGAGGGGAGCAUGGUAGCUGUACUGGAGAGCUAUCAAGGUACAAGACUUACUUGAAAAACACUGGGCGUGCUGAUACUUUAAUUCCAGAGGUGACAACAUUUGAUGGAAAGAAGUUAGACGUUGUAGACAGCAUUUCAGAAACCACUGGGAAUAUGUAACAUUUCAGAAGACUAAUGAAGGUGGGAGAUCAAUGAUAAAUGUUUCACAUGAAGUUCUCAAACAUGGUUUCACCUAAUUAGAGGUACUCUACCACAACAAAUCUGCUUGUCAGGUUAAAUGAGCAUGUUUCAGCAUGCCAAUUCAAUGGAAGUUGAUAAAUUACUCUUAAGAAUUGAAGGAAGAAGGAAACAACUUGCCAACACUGAAAAGAUAUUGACAUCCAUUACCUAUUUCUCUCUGAAAACAGUUAUCCUUUUUUGAUUUUUGUUUGGUCCAAAGAUUUUAGUUUGUCAGGAGAAAUUAGUCAGCUAAAAGAUGUUAAUAAAAGAAUUUAUGAAUGCUAGUACAUGAAUAUAAAUUUUGCAUUUUUUCUUCAGAUUAGUUUGCCAAACUCUAGUUUAGAACAUCAUUUUAGAAAGAGACGAAAGAUUAUCAUCUUACUCUUCCUUUAACGUUUAAUUAAACAUUUAGCUUUGAUAAUCACUUUAUUUUCAAAAAGAAUCACAAGGACAAUUUAUGCAAAUUCGAUUGACUUUUGCUACCAUUACUUCCUUCUGGGCUUGUUAAUGCUCUGUUUUUUGGCCUUUCAUUUUUGGUUAUCUAGUAGAUUGGUGAUUUUUCCAUCCUACUUGCGUAAGGACUUGCUUGCUCAUGAUAAAAUAUUUAUAGAAAUAUCUAUUUUAGCAUUUUAGACAAAUGUCUCACGGGCUAAGUUGGAACAUGUAGAAAGCAGUGAUUUUCAAGCAAAAAUGUAUGGAUGGUGAUGUGGUAGACAAUUGUUCUCUUAAGGAGUGAAGAUCAGUCUUCUAGAAAGCACUAUGUGACAGAGUAAAUGAAGAGGUAUGUAGUCUCAGAGCUCAUGAUACUAUGUUUCUGUUGCUGUUGCCAUAACUUCAAAUCAACCACAUACAAAAGCUAUGCUCUGAAUGUAGUAUGCGUUUUUGAUGGCUUAAUUGAUGUACUUCUGCUUAAUUUUUGGUCUUUAAAAAUUUUUGUAAUACAUUCUUCAUAAGUUUUGAUGGUUCAACGUGGCUAAUUUUACACUUAAUAUUACUGUAAUGUAACAUGGUGAUGUUUUUUCCCUGAAUCUAUUUAGGAAGCAGAUAUCAUCUUGUUGGAAAAGGAACAGCAUUGUUCCCUGUCGUUUUUGUGAGAAUGUCAAAAGGAAGAAAUUACUGUCACUGUGCAGGCAAUAAACAGGUGCUUUUCAAGUAGGUUUUUUUUUUUUUUUUGGUGCUUUAGCUAAAAAAGAUAAGUAGACCUAAGAAUUUUUACCAAGAAACUCUUUUAAAAUAUCUGACAUUUGUGAAGACCGAUGAAGAUGGUAAAUCAAUAGUAAAUGUUACUCAAGGAAGUUUUUCAGGGUGCUUCAUUCCACUUGAUAGAGAUACUGUGCCACAAGUCUAUUCUGCUAAGGUUAGAUGAGCAUUUUUUCAGCGUAGCCAUUGAAAUGAAGUUGGCAAUCAACUCUAACAAAUUCAAGGAAGAAGGAUACUACUUGCCGACAUUUAUAGAAUUGCGGCAUUCUUUUGCUGCUUCUUUCUGAAAAAGGUUAUCUUUUACUGGUCCAUUUUUGUCCUAAAUAUCUUAGUGUACUAGGAGAAAUCAGUCUGCUCAAAAGAAAGUCCUUCGAGGCUAAAUCCGUUGAUUAUUUGUUUUGAAUUAUAAUACAUGAAUAUCAAUCAUGACUUUUUUCCUUGGGUUAUUAUGCCAAACUAGCUAAGAUUAGAACCUCACUUUGCAAGCAUAGGAAGGAUUAUCAUCUCACUGUUCUUCCGAGUUUUACAUUCUCAUGUUUUAUUAACAAUAUGCAAAUUUUUGAAUUCCAUUUUUGGUUCAUCUCGUAAUUAUUUAGAAUGAUCAUCUUUCCAUUACUAGUUGCUAACAGUGUUCUUUGUUCAUUGUCAACUCUUUAUCCAAUAUCUGUAUCAAUAUUGAAGACAAUCAGUGUCUAAUGGGUUUUGAUGGAACAUGUAGGAAGCAGCAGCUUUCGAGUUAAAGUGUAUGAAUGUUGUCUCGAUGAAUUACAGGUUUACUUUGUUUCUCUCAAAGUUGGCAUUUCUUUCACACACAUAUGGAAGUGCCCGACCUUUCAUAUAUUUUGGAGGUUUCUUCUGAUUUGAUUUGCUUGAGACAAAGGGAAGCAUAUGAAGGAGAUCUUGGUUCCAGUUUAAGCUGGCAUGGCUGAGACCUGUAGCCAAUUUGGUUGAUCUUGGUUCCAGUUUAAGCUGUCUGGAUUGCUCUUUGUCAAUCUCGUGAAUGUGGAUCUCAUAUCAAUGGAAGCAUUGAAAGUAUGAAGAUGAGAAAGCAAGAAUACUGGUAGCUAGCUGUUGGAUUGUAGGCAUGUAAAAAGUCUUAACUAUACUAAAAUUGUCACCCA
rnacentral:lncRNA from 1 species